GUUUAUAAUGAAAAUAUUGAGAUAAAUUCAUUUGGAAAGAAAUAACAUAUUUUGAAAAUUUAUGAAAAUAUGAGAUGUGAUGGGAAUGUGAUUGAACAUGUAAAACUAGACAUGUAAUAUGGGUUGGACUAACCUUGUCAUGAGAUAGCCUCUACGAGCUUAUGCGUAGGAUAGCUGCCACGAGCUGAUGCGUGGGAUAGCCUCCACGGGCUUACGCGUGGGAUAGCCUCUACGGGCUUAUGCGUGGGAUAGCCUCCACGGGCUUACGCGUGGGAUAGCCUCUACGAGCUUAUGCGUAGGAUAGCCUCCACGGGCUUACGCGUGGGAUAGCUGCCACGAGCUUAUGCGUGGGAUUUGUGCAGUCUUGGACUGGGACAUGAUCUUGGUUAGUUCAACGCCA
rnacentral:lncRNA from 1 species